rnacentral:lncRNA from 1 species
UAGGACUUCCGGUCCCAAAUGGAAAAAGAAAAGGGGUGUAAAACCUAUCUGAAAUUAUAUAACCAAGUUUCAAGCUCCUGUUUCAAGGAUGGCUUAGCCCUAAGCAAAACAAGCGCUAGUUCUUCCUUGAAAAUCAUUUUCCAUCGAAACAGACUGUUGCCCCCUCCACGUUGCCUCGCAGGGCGACGGGAGGGGCUCCUCCACCACCCCUAGAAAAACCACCGCAAACCUCCAAGUCUGGCCGCCGCCAUUAGCAGCCAGCACCGAGGUGGCGGCGGCGGCCCGCAGCGAAGCUGAAGUCACCCCUCCCCCGCGCUCGUAGCUCCUUCCUCCUCUCCCGUUCUCUCCAUCCUUCCUCCCCCAAUUUGUUUAGUCUCAGAUCUGCUCAAAGGCAUCUUACCU